ACUUUUUAUUUUUUACAUUUCAAAAUUAAUUUUAUCAAUUGUUUACGAAAAUAUAAAAGUAGAUAUUGGAGAGUAAGAAAAAAAUAGGAGAGAAAGGAAGGAACGUGCGAAAUUUGGCGCCUGAUAGCGCCACGAUGGUGCAUUCUCAAGGAAAAUAAACCGUUCGCUGUCUGACUAUUUGAUUUAUGAGCGCGGGCGACAACCUACCGCACGGCAUACUGAAAUAGAUCAAGAGGAGAACCAUUGCAGUGCAUGCGCGAGGUAAAUCACCUUAUAUAUUAAUAUGCAUGCACAUACAUUGCGUGGGCGCUGACCAUUAAGGUGUUGUUACGACAUCAGACGCAGAGUACACACGUUUGUAAAUACCACUUUACAUGGAACACAUUUGGACGCGUGUAUGUUACAUGAUCUGUUCCGUAUUUGGAAUAUCAACAUUAGAGUGGAUCUUCAUAUUUAUACUGAAUAUACGUCACAAACAAGUUCUUAUACUUAUAUUGUU